rnacentral:rRNA from 1 species
UACGUAGGGUGCGAGCGUUGUCCGGAAUUAUUGGGCGUAAAGAGCUUGUAGGCGGUCUGUCGCGUCUGCCGUGAAAAUCCGGGGCUCAACCCCGGACUUGCGGUGGGUACGGGCAGACUAGAGUGUGGUAGGGGAGACUGGAAUUCCUGGUGUAGCGGUGAAAUGCGCAGAUAUCAGGAGGAACACCGAUGGCGAAGGCAGGUCUCUGGGCCACUACUGACGCUGAGAAGCGAAAGCGUGGGGAGCGAACAGG